ACCUGGCUAGCGCAGUUGGUACAGCGUGGGACUUGAUCUCAGGACCGUGGGUUUGAGCCCCACGAAGGGCA